GAUGAACGCUGGCUACAGGCUUAACACAUGCAAGUCGAGGGGAAACGACGGGGAAGCUUGCUUCCCCGGGCGUCGACCGGCGCACGGGUGAGUAACGCGUAUCCAACCUGCCUCUGACUGAGGGAUAACCCGUCGAAAGUCGGCCUAAUACCUCAUGGCAUCGUCUGCGGGCAUCCAACGACGAUUAAAGAUUUCAUCGGUCAGAGAUCGGGAUGCGUCUGAUUAGCUUGUUGGCGGGGUACCGGCCCACCAAGGCGACGAUCAGGAGGGGUUCUGAGAGGAAGGUCCCCCACAGUGGAACUGAGACACGGACCAAACUCCGACGGGAGGCAGCAGUGAGGAAUAUGGGGGAAUGGGCGAGAGCCUGAACCAGCCAAGUAGCGUGCAGGAUGACGGCCCUAUGGGUUGUAAACUGCUUUUAUGCGGGGAUAAAGUGAGGGACGUGUCCUUCAUUGAAGGUACCGCAUGAAUAAGGACCGGCUAAUUCCGUG
rnacentral:rRNA from 1 species